rnacentral:rRNA from 1 species
UGGGGAAUCUUGCACAAUGGGCGAAAGCCUGAUGCAGCCAUGCCGCGUGAGUGAAGAAGGCCUUAGGGUUGUAAAGCUCUUUCGCUAGGGAUGAUAAUGACAGUGACCUAGUAGAAGAAGUUCCGGCUAACUCCGUG